GAUUUACGACUAGUUGUAAAUUACGAUUUACAUAAAUUACGAUGUUUCAAUGAAAUCGCGUUUCAUCAAGCAAAUCGUAAAUUAAAAUUACAUAAAUUUCAUACAUAAAUAUACGACUGGGUAAGGGCACCCGUAAAUUAACGUAAUGGCGGUCGUUUUUGUCAUCCAAGAUGGCAGGAGACGAACAAUUACCAAUGCCAAGGCUUUUAAGGGAGAGAUUGUUCUCGAAAACCUUAGAGAUGAGAACAUUGCUUCGAUAUAUCGUCUAAGUAAGGGCGGAAUAGAGCGAUUGUUGGUUUUGAUCGGGGAAGACAUAGCACCAACUUGCCGGCGAGCUCAUCCCUUUCAUUCCGUCGCUUAGAUUUUGGCAUAUUGCAUAUUGCCAAGGGAGAUGUUUACUGAGGAUUCCAUGCCAUUAAUAUGCAGGCUGUUGCUGAUGCCAGCAUGAGCAAUAUCUGAGCACCAAUGAUGAGGGUCAUCUGCUGGGAGAUAGUGGGUAUCCGUUAAGGACUAACCUGAUGACCCCUUAACCUCAUCCCUCCCAUGCUGCGGAACAGGCCUACAAUGACCAUCUAUGUAGAGGAUAUCUGCAUGCCACUGGUGGAUGUUGGCCUUUCAAGUCCAAUAAGUGCUGUGAAAUAUCAACUGUGUACAUGCCCCUGCAUAACCUGUGUCUGGAUUCAAACGUUCCACUGAUAGAGGAAUUGGUUGGAAAUGAGAUGGAACCGGAAGUUAUGAACAACACACCAGUACAUCGAGCAGCAUGUGAUAAGAGGCAGCAGCUGAUCAAACUGUUUCAUAAAAUGUGUUAAAAAUUUAUAGUUAUAAAUGUUAUAAAGUGAUAGAUGGCUCGAGUCUUCUCUGAAUAGGCAGAGCUACACUACUCAGCCAAAUGGCGUAAAGUUGUGUCAUAGCUGAUUUGGAAGGAUUGGUAUUCCUGGUCGUCUAGACACAAUAGUUACAACAGCUGAUGUUUGCAUGUUUUAUAAUUGUGUAUGCAUAAUUUGUCUAAUAUUUACUUCAAGGUUAUAGGUUUGUGAAAGAAAAAAAUGUCAAUGUUCUGAGGACCAAUAAAAAAAGUUAUGUGUUAGGUAUUACCAAGUGCUUGAUUUAAUAUUUAUUUUAAAGGGAACUUUUCCUAAAUUUUGGCAGAUAUUCAAGUUUUUCAUUAAACGCUUUUAUAUUGAUACAUGUAAACACUGGAUCUAAAAAGCUCCAGUAAAAAAAGAAUACAAUUAAAGAAAGAUAAAAAGUAACUCCUACAGGGCUCAAACCACUGACCCCUGAAGUAAAAGCCUCACACUAAGACCACUUGUCCGUCCAUGUUGAUACAAUGAGUGAUGUAUUUUACACUUUAUAUAAGCAAUCCUCAUCUUGCAUAUAAUGGAUAUUUUAGAGCAUGGUAAAUGUUCAGUAUUACUGUUUCCUCACAAAUAUCAUAACUACAACAAAUGUUUGCGAAUCUUAAACUUAUUUUUUUUAAUUUAGUAAAUUUACCAAAACUGGAAAAGGUCCCUUGAAUAUUGAACAGUUAUCUGAGCUCCAGAAAAGAUCAUAUACUCAAGGUACUUUUCCCCAUUAACAAUUAUUCAAGUGAUAUUUUACCCACUGACUUUCGCUCUAAAAGGUGU